AGGCAACGCAGCUCGUGUGUCCCGGGAAAGCUGCAGUCUGCUGAGUGUAAGAUACACACCCAGACCACACCUUCAGAGCCAUGCAAAGCUGGAAGGAGACAGAGAUAAGGUACACUGAAAGGAAGAAAGAAACUCCUCUCUCCAAGCUGCAUCUGCUUGCUCAGGGGAAAGAGAUGUUUUAUGUGUUGCUACUAAAGGAAAGUGGGAUACUCUGUGUCAUGGUCAGUGUUUUCCAACAGGGCACUAUUCGCAUUUGGGGUAAGGUGAUUAACCAUAUCUUAUAAAUAUGAAGAAGAAUUCUGAUAGGAACUUAAACAUGAGUUGUACUCCUCUUGAUUAAGUGUACAUUUUAUUUCGACUUCCAAAAUCCCUAAUGUUUUAAACUUUUUUUGAAAGAGGAUUUCUUCCUGUUACAGUUUAUAAAU
rnacentral:lncRNA from 1 species